rnacentral:rRNA from 2 species
AACGUAGGAGACGAGCGUUAUCCGGAUUUACUGGGCGUAAAGCGCGUGCAGGCGGCUUGGCAAGUUGGAUGUGAAAUCUCCCGGCUCAACUGGGAGGGGUCGUUCAAAACUACCGAGCUAGAGGAUGGUAGAGGAAGGUGGAAUUCCCGGUGUAGUGGUGAAAUGCGUAGAUAUCGGGAGGAACACCAGUGGCGAAAGCGGCCUUCUGGACCAUUCCUGACGCUCAGACGCGAAAGCUAGGGGAGCGAACGGG